AUACGUAGGGAGCGAGCGUUGUCCGGAAUUACUGGGUGUAAAGGGAGCGUAGGCGGGAGUGCAAGUCAGAUGUGAAAUACAUGGGCUCAACCCAUGGGCUGCAUUUGAAACUGCAUUUCUUGAGUGAAGUAGAGGUAAGCGGAAUUCCUGGUGUAGCGGUGAAAUGCGUAGAUAUCAGGAGGAACACCGGUGGCGAAGGCGGCUUACUGGGCUUUUACUGACGCUGAGGCUCGAAAGCGUGGGGAGCAAACAGGAUUAGAUACCCUGGUAGUCCACGCUGUAAACGAUGAUUACUAGGUGUGGGGGGACUGACCCCUUCCGUGCCGCAGUUAACACAAUAAGUAAUCCACCUGGGAGUACGGCCGCAAGGUUGAAACUCAAAUGAAUUGACGGGG
rnacentral:rRNA from 1 species